rnacentral:pre_miRNA from 1 species
CAGUGCUCUCCUCAGGAACUUACUGGUCUCAGGAAUCACACGGAACCAGUACCUUUCUGGGGAGAGUAAGGCUCA